CGCUCCUGAUUACCAUAUGAGGUCCAGCCUGCCCAGUGACAUGAUUAAACGGCCGCGGUACUCUGACCGUGCGAAGGUAGCAUAAUCACUUGUUCUCUAAAUAAGGACUAGAAUGAACGACAUCACGAGGGCCUUACUGUCUCCUUUUUCCAAUCAGUGAAACUGAUCUCCCCGUGAAGAAGCGGGGAUCUUACUAUAAGACGAGAAGACCCCAUGGAGCUUUAAACCCAACAGGCAAUCCUAACCCCCUUUCCCCCCCAAAGUUUUUAAAUAGUGUCUGCUGGUUUUAGGCUGGGGUGACCGCGGAGUAAAAAUUAUCCUCCAUGACGUAUGGGACUUCCCCCCAAUCCACGAGCUACUGCUCUAAGAAUCAUCAAAUUGACGACAAAUGAUCCAAUCUAUUGAUCAACGAACCAAGUUACCCUGGGGAUAACAGCGCAAUCCAUUUCAAGAGCUCCUAUCGACAAAUGGGUUUACGACCUCGAUGUUGGAUCAGGGUACCCAAGUGGUGCAGCCGCUACUAAUGGUUUGUUUGUUCAACAAUUAAAACC
rnacentral:rRNA from 1 species